AGGUUACCCUGACACCUGCUGCCACAGCUCGGCGGUGGUUUCCUGCCUCUUGUCGGGACGUGCCUGCACAGAGAACACAAUGACAAGAAGAUGCUUCCUGUUUUGCUGCGUGGUUCAUUGUGGGGCAUCAAGUGUUUUUCACGUUGCCAGGUUCCCUGAGGAAAGCGGUGGGGGCAGGUGGCGAGGGUGAUCAGGAACUUGGACUGAAAUAGCCUCUGUGGUGAAAGCAGGAGGCAGGAAGUGAUGUCUGGUCUCGUGACAAUUGACAAGUGAGACAUCCAGCGGGCCCACUCCCUUCCCGCUAGGCCAGGCCCGCCACUGGGCCAGUGUUGCACGUGUCACAGCUGAGUCUGUACGUUGUAGGUAUUAGAAAGCCCAGGUGGCUUCACGCUUGCUUCACUUGAGACUGCCUGUUGUGGUAGAAAAUAAUAAGGGGUUCUGGUCUCGGUUCAGCCAGCUAUUUUCCAGGAGCGCCUCAUUGCUUGCUUCUUCACCUGGGAACUGAACCAGAGGACCUGAGAUGUCCUCUCUGGUCAUCCACAUUCGAGGAGUCCAUUGAUCAUCUCCUGGUGGGGCUGGGAAAGAGACCAUGUCUGCCUCAUCCUUUUCUUGUGCUCUCUUCAUGGCAUUCAAAGCCCUUCUCUAGCCUGAGGCUACCCAUUUUUUAUUGCCACCAUUCUGGACCAACUUUGAGUUCCCUCAAGAGUGAACUCACUUUCCUUCUGGGCUUUUCCAGAUGCUCUUCUCUCAGGCUAAGAUGCCUCUGAAUCCCUCCUCCCCUGUUAGACUCAAACUCAUCAUUUGAGACCCUGCUCAGAGAGCCCUCACCUCCUGAAGAAUUUCUGAUGCUCAAGCCCACAUCAUUCUAUUCACACUACUACUGUCCUAGUAUCUCUCAGUCUCAUUUGUAUGACAGGCAUCUAUGCAUUUUUCUCCCUCCAUCAGGGUGCAAGUAGUUGGCAAUUUAUUUAUUUCUUGGAUGUUUAACACAGCACUUGGCAUAUUCUUGGUGCUCAACCAGUAGACUGAAGCAUCUUUUCAUUGAUUUGACCCCAAACAGGCUCUACCUUGAGCUCAUGAAAUAAUGCUCACUCCUUGGUACAGCCAGAGAGGAGCUGGGCAGAGGAGGGCAGCUUAAUGGGCAUAUAGCUCUUACUACCUGCCCCUGCUCCUCAAAGGUUAGUGUCAGCGUUGGCUUCUGAAUAAAGCUCCUGGGGUCCCAGCUC
ensembl:lncRNA